rnacentral:lncRNA from 1 species
GACCGAUAUGUAGGAUAAAGCAAAAAUCGUAAUUCUCAUAAUUAUUAAUACCGUAUCUGUCUAUCUGUUCUUGUCUUGUAUUGUGAUUAGACUUUGGUGAUUUUUUUAUGACUAGAUUUAAAUAUAGUGACAUUGCAGUAUUAUAUUUUAAGUACAAGUACUGCUUAAGUGCACACUAGGGACCAUAUUCACCUUGUUUUACGAUCUUUUAUGGUAUUAAUGUUUCUUCAUAAGUAUUGUUGAAGACCAUCCCAUUCCGGCAACUAUCAAGAUGAAGAGCAGGAACACAAACUUUGACCAUUGAUCAUUUGUAUUUUUUCUAUGCAUUGACUUUGUGUGCGAUUAUGUUCCCAUACUCCUUUAUUAUCUGUUAAAGGGUCUCAACACGACUUAAUGCAAGUUUAACCUUUCAAUGUAAAAGGUCAUAUAUGGCAAUGCCUUGGUUUUUUUCUUCAAAUUAUUUAAUACCGGGAAAUAUGUGACCUUUCUUUAAUUCAAACCAUGUCAGCUAUCUAGUUUUAUUUACAAGAAAACAAACUGUUUUGUAUUCUUUGAUAUCAAUUUCUAAUUAUCCAUGCAGAAAGGACAAUUUUUUUUUGUGUCCACUGAGUAGCAUCGCAUGUUCUUAAAAUAUAUUUCUCGCACAAUUCUUGACAUCGGUGGACAUGCAACAUUGCAAAACCACGUUUACAAAUGAAAAUCAACACUCAGACUAUAGUCAUAAAGUAGGACAAUAAAUGAACAAAAGACAAACCCGGAAAACAGAAGUACAAACAAUAGACCAUCAACUCUGAAAACUAAAAGCAAAAUAGAAACAUGGAUAACGACAAACAUACAGGGGAUACAUCAGAGAGUGAAGAGAAUUUGCUUCUUGCAAGACACUCUCCGUGAAAACAAUUUGAUAUGAAAACAACCUUUUGUUUCAUUUUUUUUUUUUUUUUUUUUUUUUUACAUGAGGCAUUUGCCUCAUUUGCCUCGAUGUAUUUACGGCCCUGUCCAAACUUUGUUUGGGAGACUUAAUAAUCACAAAAUGCGCGCAAAUGAAAUGCGUCCGCAUAACUUCCACUUACGGAAAGCGAUUUAUGUUGUACAAACGGGUAUCAUUAUUUGCGAAAGAGUCGUUAGCAAAAUACGACGACUGGGGAAAAAAAAUCCCGUUUACUUCGUGAAUAUUGUGAAAUUUGCGCUAAAACAGCUUUUACUUUUUUUUAGUGUGCCCUUUUAUACUAGUAUGCGGCACAUUUGGUUAUUUUUUUUUAAAGAAUUAUCCAC